GAUGAACGCUGGCGGCGUGCUUAACACAUGCAAGUCGAACGGACGUAAGGAGCUUGCUCCUUGCGUUAGUGGCGGACGGGUGAGUAACACGUGAGCAAUCUGCCCAUGUCAGGGGGAUAACAGUUAGAAACGACUGCUAAUACCGCAUAUGACCACAGAGAGGCAUCUCUCAGAGGUAAAAGAUUUUAUCGGACAUGGAUGAGCUCGCGUCCCAUUAGGCAGUUGGCGGGGUAACGGCCCACCAAACCUACGAUGGGUAGCCGGCCUUAGAGGGUGAUCGGCCACAUUGGAACUGAGAUACGGUCCAAACUCCUACGGGAGGCAGCAGUGGGGAAUAUUGGGCAAUGGAGGCAACUCUGACCCAGCAACGCCGCGUGAGUGAUGAAGGUCUUCGGAUUGUAAAACUCUUUAAGUAGGGACGAAGAAAGUGACGGUACCUACAGAAUAAGCCUCGGCUAACUACGUGCCAGCAGCCGCGGUAAUACGUAGGAGGCAAGCGUUAUCCGGAAUGACUGGGCGUAAAGGGUGCGUAGGCGGGUAUGCAAGUUGGGAGUGAAAUACAUGGGCUCAAYCCAUGAACUGCUCUCAAAACUGUGUAUCUUGAGUAGUGGAGAGGUAGGCGGAAUUCCCGGUGUAGCGGUGGAAUGCGUAGAUAUCGGGAGGAACACCAGUGGCGAAGGCGGCCUACUGGGCACCAACUGACGCUGAGGCUCGAAAGUGUGGGUAGCAAACAGGAUUAGAUACCCUGGUAGUCCACACCGUAAACGAUGAUUACUAGGUGUUGGAGGAUAGACCCCUUCAGUGCCGCAGUUAACACAAUAAGUAAUCCACCUGGGGAGUACGACCGCAAGGUUGAAACUCAAAGGAAUUGACGGGGGCCCGCACAAGCAGUGGAGUAUGUGGUUUAAUUCGAAGCAACGCGAAGAACCUUACCAGGUCUUGACAUCCGAUGCAUAGCAUAGAGAUAUGUGAAGUCCUUCGGGACAUCGAGACAGGUGGUGCAUGGUUGUCGUCAGCUCGUGUCGUGAGAUGUUGGGUUAAGUCCCGCAACGAGCGCAACCCUUAUGUUUAGUUGCUACGCAAGAGCACUCUAGACAGACUGCCGUUGACAAAACGGAGGAAGGUGGGGAUGACGUCAAAUCAUCAUGCCCCUUAUGACCUGGGCUACAAACGUACUACAAUGGCCAUUAACAAAGGGAAGCAACCCGGCGACGGGAAGCAAAACUCUAAAAAUGGUCCCAGUUCAGAUUGCAGGCUGCAACUCGCCUGCAUGAAGGCGGAAUUGCUAGUAAUCGCGGAUCAGCAUGCCGCGGUGAAUACGUUCCCGGGCCUUGUACACACCGCCCGUCACACCAUGAGAGUUGGCAACACCCGAAGUCAGCAGGCUAACGCAAGAAGCCGCUGCCGAAGGUGGGGUUGACGAUUGGGGUGA
rnacentral:rRNA from 1 species